AUUGAACGCUGGCGGCAGGCCUAACACAUGCAAGUCGAGCGGAGCGGCGGACGGGUGAGUAAUGCCUAGGAAUCUGCCUGGUAGUGGGGGAUAACGUACGGAAACGGGCGCUAAUACCGCAUACUAUCAGAUGAGCUUAGGUCGGCUUAGCUAGUUGGUGGGGUAAAGGCCUACCAAGGCGACGAGCCCUAGCUGGUCUGAGAGGAUGAUCUGUCACACUGGAACUGAGACACGGUCAAGAAUCCUACGGGAGGCAGCGAGGGGGAAUAUUAGGCAAAAGGCGAAAGCCUGAUCCAGCAAUGCCGCGUGUGUGAAGAAGGUCUUCGGAUUGUAAAGCACUUUAAGUUGGGAGGCGUUACCAACAGAAAAAGCACCGGCUAACUUCGUGCCAGCGGCCGCGGUGGUAA
rnacentral:rRNA from 1 species